rnacentral:rRNA from 1 species
CCUACGGGAGGCAGCAGUGAGGAAUAUUGGUCAAUGGGAGAGAUCCUGAACCAGCCAAGCCGCGUGAGGGAAGACGGCCCUAUGGGUUGUAAACCUCUUUUUUCGGAGAACAAAACCCGGGACGUGUCCCGGACUGCCUGUAUCCGAAGAAAAAGCAUCGGCUAACUCCGUGCCAGAAGCCGCAGUAAUACGGAGGAUUCGAGCGUUAUCCGGAUUUAUUGGGUUUAAAGGGUGCGUAGGCGGUCCGUUAAGUCAGCGGUAAAAUGGCGGGGCUAAACCCCGUCGAGCCGUUGAAACUGGCAGACUUGAGUUGGCGAGAAGUACGCGGAAUGCGCGGUGUAGCGGUGAAAUGCAUAGAUAUCGCGAAGAACUCCGAUUGCGAAGGCAGCGUACCGGCGCCAGACUGACGCUGAGGCACGAAAGCGUGGGGAUCGAACAGGAUUAGAUACCCCAGUAGUC